CAAAAAAACGGUACUCAGUUCGGAUUGAAGGCUGAAAUUCGCCUUCAUGAAGCUGGAAUUGCUAGUAAUGGCAGGUCAGCAUACUGCCGUGAAUACGUUCCCGGGUCUUGUACACACCGCCCGUCACACCAUGGGAGUCGGAAAUGCCCGAAGUCUGUGACCUAACCGUAAGGAAGGAGCAGCCGAAGGCAGGUCGGAUGACUGGGGUGAAGUCGUAACAAGGUAUC
rnacentral:rRNA from 1 species